GGCCAUGACAAUCAGUCAGUCUGACAUAUGCCGAUUUUAUGCCGGUCAAAUGCACUCGGGCACAGCAUGAUUAACAUCGCGCAACAUCAGCAUCACAUGUGCACACGCACCGCCACUCCAUCAGCUGUUUAUGAAAUGUCAUAAAGUCGUAAUUAUACACGGCUCUGCAGAGCUGUCUGCUCUACUGAUCUCAGGCGAACGGUCAGCUGCUCUCUCUCCCCUCUGAUGAUGAACAACUGGAACAAGAAAACCGCACUCACAGCUACAGUUUAUUGGAAAAUAGCAUUGGGCACACUGACACAAUGAAUUUACUGUUUAUCAGACCCCAGAUGAGACAAGAAGCUAACGUUAGCGAACGCUGCGGUGACGGUCCCUCUGCCUCGGACUCCCCGCUGCAGGAGAUGGUGUGUGUAUUCCUCCGACACACUGUAUUAACGUUACUGUU